rnacentral:rRNA from 1 species
AGCGAACGCUGGCGGCAGGCUUAACACAUGCAAGUCGAGCGGGCGUAGCAAUACGUCAGCGGCAGACGGGUGAGGAACACGUGGGAACGUACCUUUUGGUUCGGAACAACUGAGGGAAACUUCAGCUAAUACCGGAUAAGCCCUUCGGGGGAAAGAUUUAUCGCCAAAAGAUCGGCCCGCGUCUGAUUAGCUAGUUGGUGAGGUAAUGGCUCACCAAGGCGACGAUCAGUAGCUGGUCUGAGAGGAUGAUCAGCCACACUGGGACUGAGACACGGCCCAGACUCCUACGGGAGGCAGCAGUGGGGAAUAUUGGACAAUGGGCGCAAGCCUGAUCCAGCCAUGCCGCGUGAGUGAUGAAGGCCUUAGGGUUGUAAAGCUCUUUCGACGGGGACGAUAAUGACGGUACCCGUAGAAGAAGCCCCGGCUAACUUCGUGCCAGCCGCCGCCGUAAAAC